AAGGAGACCAGCUUCUGUGGCUUAGCACUGCUUCGCUGGUAGUCCCGGCCCCUGCAGCCUACUGCUGCCCACAGAGAUACCCAGGCCCUCCCUUACCUCAGGCCAGCUGGCUAACAGACUCUUCCUUUUCCAGGUGCCAGGCCUUCAGCAUUGUCCUCUGGUCUGGUAGAGAGUUCUUCCUCCUUCAGGGAAGGCAGAUGGCCCGACAGGGAUCAGACACUGUGACUCCCCCAGACUCUUUCGGCCUGGCCCAAGCUCGCCGGUGCCUUCUCUCGGGAGAGUUUGACAUAGCAGUUUUCAGUGCUUUAACCCACUCCUUGAGCUCCACCUUCUCAUACUUGACGUUCCAGGAAGUGGUCCUGGAGCCAAACUAGAGGGUCACCGGUCUCAGUGGAGACCUGCUGUGGUUCCACAUCCUUCCCAGCCCUUGUCAGAUGGCUUCUGUAGCUUCUCCAUGCCAAUUGCAGUCUGGUGUGUCCUCAGGCACAGUUUGUCAGACUCCUAGGGCAGGUAUCGUUCCCUAUCUGUGUUGGGCAAAGCUAUCAAGUGAACAAGACACCGGCAAUAAUGCGGGUGCUGCUUUUCAACACUUGCUAUAGGACCCUUUUAAAAUGCCACUUGCAGGCAAGAGAGGAUCAUUCUCAUAAGGGGAACACUGGAGACAGAGGGUACUGGAAGCAUGGGGAGCCCUUCGCUCUCAGCCUCGGCAAUGUCCUCACUGUUUUCAGUGGGUAGAUGUGAGAAGAGAAACCACAGGGUAGGGAGCAGAGCAUCCCAGUACCCAAAAGGACGUGAGGGAGA
rnacentral:lncRNA from 1 species